CACAAGUUCUAUUUGCUUUGUAGCUAUAAAUCAGACUGUUUCUUGUGGCAGACAGAUGAGCAGUGAUCAGUAUGCCAUGAAAUCCACAACUCACUUAUAGUGCAGCAGAGACAGAUAUGACAAUUUUGAAGCUGAUUCAAGUCAGCAUGUGAAAGAAAAAGAUGUUCUGCCUCGAGUGGUAAAAGUGAUAUAAGAUUAUUAACAUGGAAAUGACACACUGAAAAAUGAGCAUUUGGAUAAUUAACAUGGAAAAAACUAAACCAUUGUAGCAUUCUAAACCAUAAUGGAGUAGCAUUCAGGAUGCUUGAUGCAAGAACUAUACCAUGCAUGCCAAUCAGCACUGGAACAUGUCCCACGUCAGUUGAGAAAGGCCCCUAAAAGACCAUUGGUUAGAUCAUAUCCGAGUCAAGUGGUGCACAAUCUAUCAUUGAACAAAUAAGAGAUCAAAAGAAAAUACCAUUUUAUAUUCCUCAUGACAAGCUAAUAAGGCUGGAUUUGAUGAUUCCUUCAUUCAGUUUCCAGGACAAUAUAUUUGUAUCACAUGAUAAGGUUAUCAACACGUCAGUAUGUCAGCAAGAUAUCAAAUGCAUUUCUUAUCUAUAUGUAUCUUCUAGUUUGUAUAAUUUAUAUAGGUUGUAGCAUAAGGAACUUUAUAUUCUCCCCACGAUCACUUAGCUACAGCAAUUCAACCAAUUACAUAUUACUAGUUACCUUUAGUAUCUUAGUCCUUACAUUUUAAAAGAUUACAUUGGCAUCCAUAUAGUUACGAAAGUGAAACAUCUGGAUCUAUUUAUCUUAAUGUCAUCAGUUUUAUCAACGAAAACACAAAAACAAAAAGUAAGAAGACAAUUUUAACAUUCCAAUUGGUGUUGGGGGACAGCAUCAGUGGUGGCAAACGACGAUAUUGUUGGGGGCCGUGGGUAAUUAUUAUGGAUGAAGAGAGUGACGGUGAGAGGUGAGAGCCGCUCGACAUAUACAUCAGUGUCGACACAAAUGCAAAGCGGCGCUGCUCGACAACUACGUCAAAGCCAACAUAGUUACCAAGCAACGCCACUCUGCAUCUGUGUCGGCGUUGAUGCAGUUGUCAAGUAACGAAAAGAUCAUUGAUAUAGAUGCUGUGCGACGAAAGAGUCGCUCGACAACUAUAUUGGCAUCGACGCAAAUACAAAGUGACUCUCACCUCUCGUUGCUGCACUCCUCAUCUAUAACAAUCACUCGUGGCCUCCAACGACAACGUCAUUUGCCACCACCAGCGGCAUCCUUCACCACUGACCGGAACGUAAAAAUUAUUUUUUUGAUCUUUAUUUUCGUAUUUCUAUUGAUAAAACUGAUAACGUUAAGGUAAAUGAACCAAAAUAUUUCACUUUUGUAAUAUAAGGAUGCACAUGUAACUUUCUAAAUUAUGGGACCAUGACGUUAAAGUAGCUAACUAUUAUCGAUCACAGAAUAAAAGAAGCAGAUUAAGGAGCAAGAACCAUUCAACAGGGCGCGAAAUCCGCCAUGGCGUAUCGAUGUCUCCACUAUCUCGACGAGCCCCCCGCGAAGAACCCGGUUUCUCGAUUCGCAAAAGAGAGAUCGAGGGAUCGGAUUCGUCGCAAGUAAUAGAAGGAUAUUGGAAUCUGGGGGAGGGAGGAUGUUGGUUUCGAUGGAGAAAUUAGGGUUGCGAAAAGUACCUCGGGAGAAAUCGCCGACGCUUCUUCUGCUUGGAGCUUAGGACCGUUUCCCUCAAAAGAAGAAAGACUAGUCUUAAUGGGCUUCCGAGUUUAACUUCAUGUAUUUGAUUGUUGGGCCUCAAAAGCCCAUACAAGC
rnacentral:lncRNA from 1 species